rnacentral:rRNA from 1 species
GCUCAGGAUGAACGCUGGCGGCGUGCCUAAUACAUGCAAGUCGAACGCUGGAGAUCUAGCUUGCUAGAUCGAAGGAGUGGCGAACGGGUGAGUAAUACAUAAGCAACCUACCCACGAAGACUGGGAUAAUCUCUGGAAACGGGGACUAAUACCGGAUAGGUAAUCGGAAGGCAUCUUCUGAUUAUUAAAGGUUAAAAACACUGGUGGAUGGGCUUAUGGCGCAUUAGUUAGUUGGUGAGGUAACGGCCCACCAAGACGAUGAUGCGUAGCCGGCCUGAGAGGGUGAACGGCCACAUUGGGACUGAGACACGGCCCAGACUCCUACGGGAGGCAGCAGUA